CUCGACAACAGAUAUCUUGGCUCUCGCAUCGAUGAAGAACGUAGUGAAAUGCGAUAUUGGGUAUGAAUUGCAGAACCCUGUGAACCAUCGAGUUUUUGAACGCAAGUUGCGCACCGAACCCUUCUAACCGAGGGGCACGUUUUCCUGGGCAUCACG
rnacentral:rRNA from 1 species